GAAAGUAGACUAUUAUCUGAAUAGUGGCCGAUUAGGAAAAGGGGAGAUGCAACGAGACCUGGGUGUAAUGGUACACCAGUCAUUGAAAGUAGGUAUGCAGGUGCAGCAGGCAGUAAAGAAAGCGAAUGGUAUGUUAGCAUUCAUGGCAAAAGGGUUUGAGUAUAGGAGCAAGGAGGUUCUACUGCAGCUGUACAGGGCCUUGGUGAGACCACACCUGGAGUAUUGUGUACAGUUUUGGUAAUCAUAAUCUGAGGAAAGACCUUCUUGCCAUAGAGGGAGUACAGAGAAGGUUCACCAGACUGAUUCCUGGGAUGGCAGGACUUUCAUAUGAAGAAAGACUAGAUAGACUUGGCUUGUACUCUCUAAAAUUUAGAAGAUUGAGGGGGGAUCUUAUAGAAACUUGCAAAAUUCUUAAGGGGUUGCACAGGCUAGAUGCAGGAAGGUUGUUCCCGAUGCUGGGGAAGUCCAGAACACGGGGUCACAGUUUACAAGAUGAGAAAAACAUUUUUCACACAGAGUGAUGAAUCUGUGGAAUUCUCUGCCACAGAAGGUAGUUGAGGCCAGUUCAUUGGCUAUAUUUAAGAGGGAGUUAGAUGUGGCCCUUGUGGCUAAAGGGAAGAGGGGGUAUAGAGGCAGGUACAGGAGGCAGGUUGGAUGAUCAUAUUGAAUGGCGGUGCAGGCUCGAAGGGCCGAAUGGCCUACUCCUGCACCUAUUUUCUAUGUUUCUAAAAUAAAGUAGGAUAUAGCUAAGCGCAAGGCUUCGUUAUAUUUUUUAUUAGCGAUCUUGUAAAGAACACAAAUUGCAUUCAGAGUGUAAAACACGGGGAGUCUCUAGCAGUACCAACAAGUUUCCUUAUAUCUAUAACCAACAAGUUGGUCAGCUGAUCUGCACAUUGACACAUCGUUUGUACGUAUUGCGUCAUGACGUAAACGCCCCUACCUUAGAUAGUUAAUUCAUCAUAAACCUCAUCUCCAGCUCAACAAAGUCAUUUUGAUCCCAACCCAAACCCUGAAAUGAGCUUCCUUGCUUCUCUGUUCUACCGUUUCUGCCGGAAUUUUACUUUUUGUUUGAUGGUGUUUAUUUUCAUUUUUGUUUUGGCUUUCCUGUUUGCUUUUGACUUAGAAUCCCACUUGCCCGUCUACCAAAUAUUUUAGUGGCUAUUUGUCACAUCUAGGGCUGUGCGUUGUGCGUGGACAGGCUGCCAACUUCACGCCGAGAAAUUGCGGAAUGAGAUAUAAGGGAAUAUGCGAACGACAUGGAGACGCAAGAAAACUGCAGAUGCUGGGAUCUGGAACAAAAAACAAACGGCUGAAGAACCUAGAAACAAACUGCUCGAGGACAAAAAGGCAAACUGCUGGAGCCAUCCAUGGGAAACAGUCAUCAAAGCCGCUAUGCGAAAAUAUCCGAACCCCAUGAACCCCAAUGUGGUGGGAGUGGAUGUACUGGAGAGAAAUCUCGAUACACGAGGGAGAUUGCAUAGCCAGCGUCUGCUUUGUACAGAGUGGGGAAUCCCUAGCAUUGUUAUGACUAUUCUGGGAACAAACAGGACCACAACGUAUAUUAAAGAAAAUUCUGUUGUUGAUCCAAUUGAACGCACUAUGGAACUCUGUUCUUCUAAUAUAACUCUUACUAAUUUGGUGUCAGUAGAUGAAAGACUGAUCUAUCGACCACAUCCUGAGAAUCCAGAAAAAACCAUUUUAACCCAAGAAGCUAUUAUUACUGUGAAAGGAGUUAUCUUAAGCAACUAUCUGGAAGGAUUAAUGGCCAACACCAUUUCUGCUAAUGCAGGGAAGGGGUGGGAUGCUAUUGAGUGGAUAAUUCAAAACUCUGAAAGUGUUAACUAACAGCUUUCACUUCUGCAUUUUGCUCUUAGUGUUAUCUGUGGACUGAUCCUUGCACAUGUUAAAACGUACUGAUCUUUGCAUUUUGUGGGAAGCAACAUAAAUAACACAAACGUAUUUUUGGAAGCAAAUUGAAUGGAUGCAUUGAAGAUAGAAUUCAGCUUUUUAAUUUUGGCUGCAAAGCAAUCGAGUUUGUAAUAAGUAAGAUGAGACUGAAGAACUAGCGGCAUCUGACCAGGAGAGUACGAAGUCACUGCUGGCUGUGGCACGGCUGAACACUUGACAGUUCAGCCCAUGGCUGUGCUACACUUUGACUUGUAUUCAGGAAACUCACUUAGUAACAUGUUCUGUAUUAUUUUAAAGUGAAUGUCGUGCUUUUUGUUGGCGGGGGGGGGGGGAAUUAUAAGCUACAAAAUUGACUUUGAAUGUAUCAAAUAUUCAGAUCAUGAAAGUAAGCAGCCAGCUUGGAUGUGAGAUGCUGUGUUUGGGAUUAUUUAUAGAAAGAUAUGUGUUUGUAGUGUCCUUGACAAACAUCCAUUCAACAGCAGUCUGCAGAGGGAUGUCACUUGGUACAUGCACUUUUUAAACAAAGGGCCGUUUCCUGGAAAUAGAACCAGAGACAUUACACAAACAUAUGGACUUAAAAACUAUUUUGAUCGGCACUUGGUGCAUUGCAUUUGAUUUAUACUUGAAGGUGGAGUGGAUAGUGACAAUGCCUUACAGUGCUGAAUUAAUAAAAAGUGUAGAUUUUGGAACAAUGUUACGAUCGCAUAUGUAAAAUGGAUUUUAUUUGUGUCAUUAA